rnacentral:rRNA from 1 species
AGAGACAGCAGCAGCCGCGGGAACACGUAGGUGGCAAGCGUUGUCCGGAAUUAUUGGGCGUAAAGCGCGCGCAGGCGGAUCAGUCAGUCUGUCUUAAAAGUUCGGGGCUUAACCCCGUGAGGGGAUGGAAACUGCUGAUCUAGAGUAUCGGAGGGGAAAGUGGAAUUCCUAGUGUAGCGGUGAAAUGCGUAGAUAUUAGGAAGAACACCAGUGGCGAAGGCGACUUUCUGGACGAAAACUGACGCUGAGGCGCGAAAGCCAGGGGAGCGAACGGGAUUAGAUACCCCGGUAGUCCCUGUCUCUUAUACC